rnacentral:misc_RNA from 1 species
GAUGAAGAACGUAGCGAAAUGCGAUAAGUAGUGUGAAUUGCAGAAUCCAGUGAAUCAUCGAAUCUUUGAACGCACAUUGCGCCCGCCAGCAUUCUGGCGGGCAUGCCUGUUCGAGCGUCAUUUCAACCCUCGACCUCCCUUUGGGGAAGUCGGCGUUGGGGACCGGCAGCACACCGCCGGCCCUGAAAUGGAGUGGCGGCCCGUCCGCGGCGACCUCUGCGUAGUAAACCAACUCGCACCGGAACCCCGACGUGGCCACGCCGUAAAACACCCAACUUCUGAACGUUGACCUCGAAUCAGGUAGGACUACCCGCUGAACUUAAGCAUAUCAAUAAGCGGAGGA